rfam:Sarcophilus harrisii ctg7180001447295, whole genome shotgun sequence.
CCAGCAGUCACUUUUUUUUCCAGGCAAAGGGUUUGUGGACCAUCCUGGGGGUGUGAGACUGGGAAAGCCCCAGGAGGUGCUGCUCAGCACAGAUGUUGUGGAAAAGGACUUAGCUCCUGGAGGCUCAGGGUGGUAUGUAAU